rnacentral:rRNA from 1 species
UUUUAUAAUGAUGUUUUUUAUUUCUACUCAGGACGAACGCUGGCGGCGUGCCUAAUACAUGCAAGUCGAACGCUUCUUUUUCCACCGGAGCUUGCUCCACCGGAAAAAGAAGAGUGGCGAACGGGUGAGUAACACGUGGGUAACCUGCCCAUCAGAAGGGGAUAACACUUGGAAACAGGUGCUAAUACCGUAUAACAAUCAAAACCGCAUGGUUUUGAUUUGAAAGGCGCUUUCGGGUGUCGCUGAUGGAUGGACCCGCGGUGCAUUAGCUAGUUGGUGAGGUAACGGCUCACCAAGGCCACGAUGCAUAGCCGACCUGAGAGGGUGAUCGGCCACAUUGGGACUGAGACACGGCCCAAACUCCUACGGGAGGCAGCAGUAGGGAAUCUUCGGCAAUGGACGAAAGUCUGACCGAGCAACGCCGCGUGAGUGAAGAAGGUUUUCGGAUCGUAAAACUCUGUUGUUAGAGAAGAACAAGGAUGAGAGUAACUGUUCAUCCCUUGACGGUAUCUAACCAGAAAGCCACGGCUAACUACGUGCCAGCAGCCGCGGUAAUACGUAGGUGGCAAGCGUUGUCCGGAUUUAUUGGGCGUAAAGCGAGCGCAGGCGGUUUCUUAAGUCUGAUGUGAAAGCCCCCGGCUCAACCGGGGAGGGUCAUUGGAAACUGGGAGACUUGAGUGCAGAAGAGGAGAGUGGAAUUCCAUGUGUAGCGGUGAAAUGCGUAGAUAUAUGGAGGAACACCAGUGGCGAAGGCGGCUCUCUGGUCUGUAACUGACGCUGAGGCUCGAAAGCGUGGGGAGCAAACAGGAUUAGAUACCCUGGUAGUCCACGCCGUAAACGAUGAGUGCUAAGUGUUGGAGGGUUUCCGCCCUUCAGUGCUGCAGCUAACGCAUUAAGCACUCCGCCUGAGAGCA